rnacentral:rRNA from 1 species
AUUGAACGCUGGCGGCAGGCCUAACACAUGCAAGUCGAACGAGUGGCGGACGGGUGAGUAAUGUCUGGGAAACUGCCCGAUGGAGGGGGAUAACUACUGGAAACGGUAGCUAAUCCCGCAUUCCAUCGGAUGUGCCCAGAUGGGAUUAGCGAGUAGGUGGGGUAACGGCUCACCUAGGCGACGAUCCCUAGCUGGUCUGAGAGGAUGACCAGCAACACUGGAACUGAGACAAGGACCAGACUCCUACGGGAGGCAGAAGGGGGGAAUAGUGGACAAUGGGCGCAAGCCUGAGACAGCCAUGCCGCGUGGAGUAAGAAGGCCUUCGGGUUGCAAAGUACUUUCAGCGAGGAGGCGUUACUCGAAGAAGAAGCACCGGCUAACUCCGUGCCAGCAGCCGCGGUAAGAC